ACUCUGUGAACUGCUCAGCUUUUCCUAGGGAAGGGACAGGGAAAAUCGUUGACUUGGGUCCAGCAAUGCCAUGUGUGUUGGGGUGUGAGCAGCCAAAGCAACAGGCUCCAGCCCCACCGACCGGUGCUGGGGGCACCUGGUGCUGCCCGUGGGGUGGGGAAGCAGCAUAUAUACCCUGAUAAGCCCUGAAUGUGCCAGGAGGUUUCAGCCGGGAGGAAAGGAGCUGUGGAAGAAAAGCAGCCUAAAAAUAGCCAGCGGGGAUCA